UUUAAAAAAAAUUUUGGUUAUUUAAAAAAUAGUUUAGUUCGGUUGUUCGUCAAACUUUGUCAUUUCGUUUUCUCUCUUCUCUUUUUUCAAACCCUAGAAAACUUUCAGAGUCGUCUUUUCAUUAGCAGUCGAGUAUGGUUGUGACGACUAAGGGGAAGUCGAAUAAACAAGAUGAAGAGGAUGCUAUAGAGAAAUAGAAGAAAAACAAGGAAGAUGUUGUUUCAGAGAAACAUACGAAGAAGUCUGCAAAAGUUGAAGCUGAGAAACAAAUGUUAAAUGAACAAAGGAACAAUUGGAAUUCCCAUGACAACCAUCGAGACCAGAGUUAAAUUUGUAUCUGUGGCGGGAUAUGAUGCGAGCGAAAUUCCUUAUUCUCUAGUUACCACAAGUGACAAGAUCUUACUUAAGAGGUUAUUGUUGAUGGUUGGUUUCAUACAGGUUAUAUCUAUUGAUCCAUUUGGAGAACUCUUACUCAAAAAUCAAUUUCAAUUCUUAACUGGCCGCGAUCGCAAUCUGGCCUGACCAAUUUACUCGGCCACAUAACAACGAAAAUUCAAACCAAUUACAUUGAUGUAGACGAGGGGAGGAAAAUGUCAUUGCCUGCAAUGCUUGUUGGUGAAAUUAUUGUAGAAAUUUUAUAAAUAAGUCAGUUUGCUAGAGAAAUGGUUUUUUCAACUGGUCCGAAACACGCCACAGGUGAUCCAAAAACUUUGUUAUCUCGAUCCUCACACCAGAACUCAGAUCCUGAGUUUUGGAAUAUUUUGAUUAAUAUCUAAACUAUGAUGAUUUCAGGUUCAAUCUAUGAAAGAUAUUCUUUUAAUUGUAAGGAAGUAUGUAAUUUGAAUGGCUCCCUGAGUUUUGGGAUUGGAUUGUUAUCCACUAUUGUUCAAUAUGUUGUAUGUUAUCCUGCAUUUGUUUUUAUUAUUUAGACACACAAUCAGUUAUUCAA